ACUGCAUGCUGCGCUAUCGACUUUGGAUCCUGACGAAGGAAACAGGGUAGGAAAGUCCGGACAGCAAAGAGCAACGUACCGGUUAAUAGCCGGGUCUCUUUCAAAACGGGAACAGACAGUGCCACAGAAAAUAACUGCCUCACCCUCUCUAACUUGUUGGAGAGGGAAGGGGUGAGGGUGAAAAUGUAGGGUAAGAGCCUACGGCUGUUGCCAGUAAUGGCAAUGUGCGGGUAAACCUUGCGUGCUGAAAUGCCAUGUAUAGGAUCGAUUGAGGGCUGCUCGUCCAAUGAUCCAGGGUAGGCAGAUACAGGUUGCCAGUAAUGGCAAUCGCAGAUAAAUGAUAGCACAUCGUUAAGUUAGUGUACUACCUUAACGAAACACAGAAACCGGCUUACAGGCCUGCAGUAACC
rnacentral:RNase_P_RNA from 1 species